GACGAACGCUGGCGGCGUGCCUAAUACAUGCAAGUAGAACGCUGAAGGAGGAGCUUGCUUCUCUGGAUGAGUUGCGAACGGGUGAGUAACGCGUAGGUAACCUGCCUGGUAGCGGGGGAUAACUAUUGGAAACGAUAGCUAAUACCGCAUAAUAGCAGUUGUUGCAUGACAACUGUUUGAAAGGUUCACUUGCACCACUACCAGAUGGACCUGCGUUGUAUUAGCUAGUUGGUGGGGUAACGGCGCACCAAGGCGACGAUACAUAGCCGACCUGAGAGGGGGGUCGGCCGCACUGGGACGGAGACACGGCCCAGACUCCUACGGGAGGCAGCAGUAGGGAAUCGUCGGCAAGGGACGGAAGACUGACCGAGCAGCGCCGCGUGAGUGAGGAAGGUUGUCGGAUCGUGAAGCUCUGUUGUAGGAGAAGAACGAGUGUGAGAGUGGAAAGUUCACACUGUGACGGUAUCUGACAAGGAAGAGACGGCUAACUACGUG
rnacentral:rRNA from 1 species